CAAUAGCGUAUAUUAAAGUUGUUGCAGUUAAAAAGCUCGUAGUUGGACCUUGGACCUGGACAGGCGGUCCGCCUCACGGCGAGUACUGUCUUGCUGGGUCUUUCCUCUUGGUGAUCUGUUGUUUCGGCAGCAGGGAACCAGGACCUUUACUUUGAAAAAAUUAGAGUGUUCAAAGCAGGCUCGACGCCGGAAUAUAUUAGCAUGGAAUAAUAAAAUAGGUCGUGCGGUUCUAUUUUGUUGGUUUUUGGAAUCGCCGUAAUGAUUAAUAGGGACGGUCGGGGGCAUUAGUACUCACAUGCUAGAGGUGAAAUUCUUGGAUUUUGUGAAGACUAACUUCUGCGAAAGCAUUUGACAAGGAUGUUUUCAUUAA
rnacentral:rRNA from 1 species